rnacentral:rRNA from 1 species
GACGAACGCUGGCGGCGUGCUUAACACAUGCAAGUCGAACGAAGUGGCGAACGGGUGAGUUACGCGUAAUCAACCUGCCCUUCAGAGGGGGACAACAGUUGGAAACGACUGCUAAUACCGCAUCCUGAAGGAGGGGAUUGCGUCUGAUUAGCUAGUUGGAGGGGUAACGGCCCACCAAGGAGAUGAUCAGUAGGCGGGUUUAGGGGAUGGACGACCACCAUGGGGCUUGGGAAAGGCCCCAGAUCCUUCGGGGAGCAGCAAGUGGGGAUCUUCCGAAAAUGGCGAAAGUCCUGCGGCGCCACGCCGCGUUGGAGAUGACGGGCUUCGGGUUGUAAAGCUAUUUUAGUCGGGACGCGGUAUCUGAAUAGAAAGCCACGGCUAACUACGUGCCAGCAGCCGCGGUAAUAC